GACGAACCGUGCGAACGUUGUUCGGAAUCACUGGGCUUAAAGGGCGCGUAGGCGGCUUGCCAAGUCGCGGGUGAAAUCUUUCGGCUUAACCGGAAAAGUGCCCGCGAUACUGGCCGGCUCGAGCGAGGUAGGGGCAGGGGGAACUUCCGGUGGAGCGGUGAAAUGCGCAGAUAUCAGGAGGAACACCAAUGGCGAAGGCAGCUCGCUGGAACGGAACUGACGCUGAGGCGCGAAAGCGUGGGGAGCGAACAGG
rnacentral:rRNA from 1 species